AUAUAAUUGCCCCAGGCUCCAAGAGUUUCUUCAGAUGCUCCAGGAUCAGAGCCACAUAAUUAUUAUUAUUAUUUUUUACAUUUACAAUUUAUUUUACAUUGGCUACAUUUGUUCUUGGGAUGUUUCAUUUCUACUGAGUUGAAAGGUUGUAUCUAUCAUCGCCAUUAUUUGUUAUGUCCAUAUCCUCUGGACAAGGAUGUCUGCUGUAGGCUUAGAGGAGGGACAGGUGGUGCAAAUUGACAUUAUCAGCUAUCCAUCCAUCCUGGCUGUAGGUCCUAGGAGCUGAUAGAGGAGUAAUAUUGUUACCUUGGGUUUUCAAUUUGAGCUUUUCAGGUAGCAUAGCCACACUCUUCUUGUCUAUCCAGCCUGAAAUUUAGUGAUUUCUUCACCUCUUCUCAUUCACUUCUCAUGCAAAUUUAGUUGCUUAAUCCUAUUUUGAUCCUAUUUGAUUCUGUCUCUGAUCUUUGGCAUGUCCGUCCCUUUAUCUCCACAAGUUCAGGCUUCAGCUCCCUCUUGACUGGUCUCAGUCACUUCUUCAUUAAUCCCUGCCUCCACGCUUUUACCUCACCAUCCAGGAUUUUGAGAGCUGACAUCCUCACACGGUCACUUUCUCGAAAAGACAAGAUUCUCCAAAAUCUACAGAAUUCCUUGGCAUUACACUCCAGGUGUCUUUCCUCAUCCCUAAUUAUAUCCUUCAUACAGCCAUACUCAAAUCACACCAAACGCCAUUAAACUCAAUUUCCUGCCCUUAUUUGCACAUGCUGUUCCCACUGUCUUGAUUGCACUAUCCCUUCGCACCCUAUGGAACACAUUCUCAUUCUUUGAGACGUAGGCUAAACAUGACCACCUCUGUAAAGCCAUCUCUAGUUGCCACUUUUCUCGUAUCUUUGCUCUAGCACUUACUGGAUUGAGCCUUGACUGAGGUUUGUUUAUAUGUACCUCCCCACUGCCCUCCAAGACCAAAUGCUUCUGAAAAGCAGAGAAUGUUUUGUUCCUUUCUAGUUUACAUAGUCACCAACAAACAGUAGGUACUUAAUACGUUUUGUUGAGUGAACAGAAUGAGUUCACUCUCCAUUUCCUCAGUUUCGUCCCUUUGAAGUUUAGCUCUAUGAGGUUUUUAAGUAAAUCCUGCAGGGAGAAGUGUCAGUGAAUUAUUGUUUG
rnacentral:lncRNA from 10 species